rnacentral:rRNA from 1 species
GACAGAGGAGCCAAGCGUUGUCCGGAUUGACUGGGCGUAAAGCGCACGCAGUCUGUCGCGCGCGUGUGGUGUGAAAUCUGGCCGCUUAACGGCCAGGCGCCAUCCCAUACGGCGCGACUGUAGUGAUGCAGAGGUCGAUGGAAUUGCCGGUGUAGUGGUGAAAUGCGUAGAGAUCGGCAGGAACACCCAGGGGGAAACCAGUCGACUGGGCAUCUACUGACGCUGAGGUGCGAGAGCGUGGGGAGCGAACCGG